AGUUCGCAGCUCUCUUCCACUCGCGGCGUCCAGAGGAGGGCGGUGGGCUGGAGAGCGUGGGCCUGGGGUGACGGAAUGCUCUGUGCGGGGAUCGCAGGCCCCCGAGCUGCAGGGGGCAGCAAAGCGCGCCCACCUGCCCGCCUGCCCGAGGAGAACACCGCAGCUCUGCUAAUCGAGGGACAGCCGCAACCCAAAGUUCGGCAGCUUUCCGCCUGAGCUUCCCCUCCCUGAGCGAGGACACUGGAGGGAGGCAGAGACGGAGAGCCCAUGGGCAGAUCUGCAUCCUCCAAAAGCCUCCAUAGCCUCUGGGAAGGAAAUGUAUCGAGGAGGCCUGGAGGGAAGCAGGGAGACACCCAUGAGUCUAAUGAGAUCAAGUGGCCUGAGUGGGUUGAAGUCCUUGGAUCAGACCGUGGAAGCUGGAAUGGAGAGAGAUUUCGGAGGGGCAGCCAGACCUGAUGGACAAUAGGAUUCCCAGACAAGCAAAAGAGGUUUCCCUCCCUUACUUCUCCCAGGCCAUCCUCAUCUCUGCAGCAGCCCAAAUGGGCUCCCUGUCUCCUCAUGGCAGAUAAAACGAUGUUUUAUAAUUACGAUCCUGUCACUCUUCCUCAUAGGAGUGCCGCCAACCCAUUGCCCUUGAGAUGGAGACCACCUCUUUGGUAUUGCAAAGAAGGUCCUUCGUAAUCAUCUAUCCCUCAUCCUCACCCUUCUGCUCCAUUUGAAAGGCCCUCCAGAACAACAUGUCAUUCCUGGGAACCAUCUUUGGUAUUGCAAAGAAGGUUCUUCAUGAUCAUCGUCCCCCAUCCUCACCCUCCUGCUUCAUUUGAAAGGCCCUCCAGAACAAUGUGUCACUACCAGAAACCAUUCGCUAUCUCUGUUCCUUGUUUGUAUUUCUGCACUGGAAAUGGCCUUACAGCUCCACACUCAUCCUUCAGACAUGCAGCUCCUUGGUGACCCCAUCUGCUGGGUGCUGGCCUAUGUCACAUCCAGGUUGCUUUUUAUUCAUUGUCUCAUCUACCAGCCCAUGCCUCCCCAAGGGCAGGGCUGGUCCUGGUUCACUAACCCAUCCCCAGCACCCAUUGGAAUGCUCUAGACUUCAGCCCAGUGAGUCACUAAGAAAGGACAGAUACCUUGGCAGAAGAGCUGAGGAAAGCCCAGGUCCCUGUCUUCAGGCCAAGGCUCUCUUCCCAUUUGACCAACCCUGGCAUAUGUGUGUGUGUUGCAUUGAGGAAUUAUUUCAAGGUAUCUUUGAAUCCAUUCGGAUUCUUGGCCAGGUGCAGUGGCUCACACCCAUAAUCUCAGCACUUGGGGAAGCCAAGGUAGGCAGAUUGCUUGAGCACAGGAAUUCAAGACCAGCCUACAAAAAAUAAUAAAAAAUAAAUAAAUAGUCCAUUUGGAUUUUUAUAUCAUCUAUGGAUAGGAUAAAUAAUAUGCCUCAUAAUAUAUGCCCUAAUAUUUUUCAAAUAUAUGUAGCUGCCUCUGUGAUGAAUAAAAUAGAAAUAAUCUAUUUAAA